rnacentral:rRNA from 1 species
UGGAUGAUGUGGAUUAAUUCGAUGCAACGCGAAAAACCUUACCUACCCUUGACAUGCCAGGAAUCCUGCAGAGAUGUGGGAGUGCUCGAAAGAGAGCCUGGACACAGGUGCUGCAUGGCUGUCGUCAGCUCGUGUCGUGAGAUGUUGGGUUAAGUCCCGCAACGAGCGCAACCCUUGUCAUUAGUUGCCAUCAUUUAGUUGGGCACUCUAAUGAGACUGCCGGUGACAAACCGGAGGAAGGUGGGGAUGACGUCAAGUCCUCAUGGCCCUUAUGGGUAGGGCUUCACACGUCAUACAAUGGCCGGUACAAAGGGCAGCCACUUAGCGAUAAGGAGCCAAUCCCGUAAAGCCGGUCUCAGUCCGGAUCGUAGUCUGCAACUCGACUACGUGAAGUCGGAAUCGCUAGUAAUCGUGGAUCAGAAUGUCACGGUGAAUACGUUCCCGGGUCUU